UUUUAACUAUUGUGACAUUUCAACAGUGACAGCUGUCACAUGAACAGUAUGACAAGUUUUUAUUCUGUCACUGGGUAUGUGACUGCCAUUACUGAAGAAAUAACCGUAAAGAAGGAAGA
rnacentral:precursor_RNA from 12 species